rnacentral:lncRNA from 1 species
AAAAAUUUCAUCAAAUACAAAAACUUCAUUAAAGGAGCAAAACAAUUUGUCCUUUAGUGAUUUUGGGCCUUUACGUAAAAACGUAAACUUUCGGGUCAAAGUACAAAUACUCAAAAGUAUCAAAACUUUAUGUAAUUGCAUAAAAGCCCCAAAAGUACCCUAUUUUAAUAGGGUGACCGGUUGGUGAGAGUGAUGGUGUCAUAAAAACUUUUGAAUUUUUCAAAAAAGUAAAAGGUGAUAGGUUGGUUUGAAAAAGUAGGUUUCCAUAAAACAUGGUUCCUUAAAACAAGGAAAAUGUGUAAGUGAUUGGUAUGAAUAUUUAUUGAAAAUUCAAACCAUUCAUCACAAACAAAAACUUUAUUCAACAACCAAAACUUUUGAAUCAAAAUACCCAACCUUUUUGUUCUUGCCAAAAACAUAACAAGAACAAUGAAGAACAUCCAUGAAAAC